AAGACUAUACUUUCAGGGAUAUUUCUAUAGUUCGUUACUAGAGAAGUUUCUCUGAUCGUGUAGAGCACCCGAAACCACGAGGAAGAGACGCAGCGUUUUCUCCUGAGCGUGAAAAAAAAAAAUAAAUAAAAUAAAAUGCACGUGUGUGU
ensembl:snoRNA U3 Small nucleolar RNA U3